CCUUCGAUAGCUCAGCUGGUAGAGCGGAGGACUGUAGUGUUUCCCUACCUGGUUAUCCUUAGGUCGCUGGUUCGAUUCCGGCUCGAAGGA
rnacentral:tRNA from 1 species